rnacentral:lncRNA from 13 species
UUUUACAGGUGGCCUCUGCCUUCCCUGACCUAAGUGUGUAUUAAGUUCCUCUCCUUGGUGCUUCCCUAGCAUGGAACUUUCUCUACCAUCAUCUCCAUCACUCUUUUUUUUUUUUUUUUUUUUUUUUUAGACAAAGUUUUACUCUCGCGGGCCAGGCUGGAGUGCAGUGGUGCAAUCUUGGCUUACUACAACCUCCGCCUCCCAGGUUCAAGAAACUCUCCUGCUGUAGCCUUCUAAGAAUCUGGGAUUACAGGCACCUGCCUCCACACCCGGGCUUCCAUCUCAAGGUUACUUCAUGGCCCAAGACUUCUGUUGGAGCUCCAGCUGUUACAGCAGCAUCUCAGGGCUCUUCCCCACCCACUCUACGGGGCUGCUCUGUCCAUUCUCCAAGUCUCCACGUAAACGCCACUUCUCCUGGAACACCUUCACUGGUAUCUUGGACUGGAAGUUCUCAACCAGGAGGAACACACUCGCUUGCCCUCCUCAAUUCAGCCUUGGGAGAUAUUUUGCAAUAUCUGGAGAUGGUUUUGGUUGUUACAACUGGGAAUAGAAAAGAAGCUUGGGAUUCAGACAAAGUAAUUUUGAGUGUGACAACACAUUUAUCGCUUCUUAUAGCAUCAUUUUUCAAGUAUGACUACUGGAUUCCUUUGUUGCCACUCAAAAAUGAACCGCUGUCAAACUGGGUUAAUGCUGCCAAUGUCAAGCUGGUUUUGGGGCGCCAGAUGUGUUCUCUUCCAAUAAAGUUUAGGAUGUUGCCAUAUAAAGCUGCUCUUUCUACACUGCCUGAUAUUUCAUCAUUAUCCUCCUCACUUCAAAAUCCGGGAAAGAAGGUGUGGCACAUCUCGAAAGAGACUCUAAUACAAGACACCAAAUGAGAAAGAAAGUAUCAGAAGACUGCACGGUCAUGAGGAAUGAAGAGAGAGAGUUAGGGACCAGAAGAUGCCCCAUGUAUACCUCCUCCAAGGAUUUAAGCAAUAGACAUUCUCAGUUUGUGUGGUAACAACUAAUAAAAUAAUUAGACCAGAGAUUUAAAUUCUUAUU